ACGAACGCUGGCGGCGUGCUUAACACAUGCAAGUCGAACGGAAAGGCCCUGCUUUUGUGGGGUGCUCGAGUGGCGAACGGGUGAGUAACACGUGAGUAACCUGCCCUUGACUUUGGGAUAACUUCAGGAAACUGGGGCUAAUACUGGAUAGGAGCUCCUGCUGCAUGGUGGGGGUUGGAAAGUUUCGGCGGUUGGGGAUGGACUCGCGGCUUAUCAGCUUGUUGGUGGGGUAGUGGCUUACCAAGGCUUUGACGGGUAGCCGGCCUGAGAGGGUGACCGGCCACAUUGGGACUAAGAUACGGCGCAGACUCCUACGGGAGGCAGCAGUGGGGAAUAUUGCACAAUGGGCGGAAGCCUGAUGCAGCAACGCCGCGUGCGGGAUAACGGCCUUCGAGUUGUAAACCGCUUUCGCCUGUGACGAAGCGUGAGUGACGGUAAUGGGUAAAAAAGCACCGGCUAACUACGUG
rnacentral:rRNA from 1 species